GGCGGCGCCAUCUUGGACGCGCUGCGGCUCGGGCCAGGCGGGAGCGUCGCCUUCUUCUCGUCGGGUCGUCAGGACUCGCAGCCCGGCGCCCGCCCGCGGAGCGCCCCGAGAUGAUGCUGAGAGGAAACCUGAAGCAGGUGCGCAUCGAGAAGAACCCAGCCCGCCUGCGCGCGCUCGAGUCGGCGGCAGGCGACGGCGAGCCCGCGGGCUCCAUGGCGCUGCUGGCGGCCGAGCCGGCCGAGGAGCGUGCGGCCGACGAGGUGGGCUUCACCAUCGACAUCAAGAGCUUCCUCAAGCCGGGCGAGAAGACCUACACGCAGCGCUGCCGCCUCUUCGUGGGCAACCUGCCCACCGACAUCACCGAGGAUGACUUCAAGCGGCUGUUCGAGCGCUACGGCGAACCCAGCGAGGUUUUCAUCAACCGCGACCGCGGCUUCGGCUUCAUCCGCCUGGAAUCCAGGACACUGGCUGAAAUUGCAAAAGCCGAGCUGGAUGGCACCAUUUUGAAAAGCAGACCUCUUCGAAUCCGCUUUGCUACACAUGGAGCAGCUUUAACUGUUAAGAACCUUUCGCCAGUUGUUUCCAAUGAGCUUUUGGAACAAGCAUUUUCCCAGUUUGGUCCAGUAGAAAAAGCUGUUGUGGUUGUGGAUGAUCGAGGUAGAGCCACAGGAAAAGGUUUUGUGGAAUUUGCAGCAAAGCCUCCUGCAAGAAAGGCUCUGGAAAGGUGUGGUGAUGGGGCCUUCUUACUGACAACGACCCCACGUCCAGUUAUUGUGGAACCAAUGGAGCAGUUUGAUGAUGAAGAUGGGUUGCCAGAGAAGCUGAUGCAGAAAACACAACAAUAUCAUAAGGAAAGAGAACAGCCACCACGUUUUGCUCAACCUGGAACAUUUGAAUUUGAGUAUGCAUCUCGAUGGAAGGCUCUUGAUGAAAUGGAAAAGCAGCAGCGUGAACAGGUUGAUAGAAACAUCCGAGAAGCCAAAGAGAAACUGGAGGCAGAAAUGGAAGCUGCCAGGCAUGAACAUCAGUUAAUGCUAAUGAGGCAAGAUCUAAUGAGGCGUCAGGAGGAACUCAGACGUUUAGAAGAACUCAGAAACCAAGAGCUGCAAAAACGGAAGCAAAUACAACUUAGACAUGAAGAAGAGCAUCGUCGUCGUGAGGAAGAAAUGAUUCGACACAGAGAACAAGAGGAACUGAGGCGACAGCAAGAGGGUUUUAAGCCAAACUAUAUGGAGAAUGAUAAAAGACUACAUGGAUGAGGCUACCUGCUGAAAUUCAGCAGUCAGUGAGAAACAAGCUGAGAGGCAGCACGCUCGAGCCACAUUCCUCUCAGCCACCAGGUUCCAGAUGCCAUCAGGAUGCCAGCCAGGCUUCCCCGGACUGAAGACCCCACCAAUGCGUCCUGGAGCUCCACUUCCCCAGAAACUCUCCCUACUAGGGAAAGAGAGAGGCAGACUGGGAGUAUGGAUCAACCAGUCAACGCCCAUGUUCAAUGGGGAGGCAAUUACAGAAGCCAGACCUUCCACCUUCUGCAACCCACAACGACCCUGGGUCCAUGCUCCCAGAGGGAUAGAGAAUGGGAAAGCUAUUGGGGAGGGGAUGGGAUAUGGAGAUUGGGUGGUGGGAAUUGUGUGGAGUUAUACCCCUCCUACCCUAUGGUUUUGUUAAUUUAUCCUUUCUUAAAUAAAAAAUAAAUUAAAAAAGAAAAAGAGGUGCAAGGAGCCUUGAAGGUGGUUGAAGUGGUAGAGCUCUACUUAGAUUUAAGUAUUAGGUUCUGGGGAGGGGAGAAAGCAAAAUGGUUAUAAAUUGACUCUGAGCCUGAGGCUCCCAGGUCCCAGGUUCAGUCCUCUUAACCACCAUAAACCAGAGCUGAGCAGUGUUCUGGGGGAGGGAGACUUUAAAAAUUCUGAGUUUGAAUCCCAGCACUGCAUAUGCCAGAGUGCUGCUUUCCUUUCCGGCUUAUGAAAUGAAUUUUUAAAAUGUAUGUGUAUUGUGGUCCAGGGGGUAGUUCAGUGGGUAAAAUGUUGGGCUUUCAAGCAUGAGGUUCCAAGUUCAGUCCCUGGCAGCACAUGUACCAGAGUGUUACCCAAGUGUCUUUAACUCUUUCUGUCUCUCAUAUUAAUAAAUAAAAUCUUAAAAAAAAGUGUGUGGGGAGAGGCAGGCAGGAGAUGACAUAAUGGAUAAAAUGUUGGACUCUGAAGCAUGAGGUUCAGAGUUUAAUCCUCCAGUCUGGUUCUCUGUCCCUUCUUGUGUUAAUAAAUAAGUAAAUCUGAGAGGAAAGAGGGAAAAGGAGGAAGGGAAAGAAGAGGAAGUUGAGGAACAGUGAACCUUCCUCCAGUGUGGUGUGGGUUGGGCUACAUACAUGAGAGAAUUAUCUAGGGGAGCUAUAUAUAUAUAUAUAUAUAUUUUUUUUUUUUUUUUCAGGGGAGCUGUUUGCCAGGUCUUAUUUAUUUUACCAGAGCACUGCUCAGUUCUGGUUUAUGCUGGUAUGGGGCAUUGAACCUGGGACUUUGGAGCCUCAGGCAUAAGAGACUCUUUGGAUAACCAUUAUGCUAUCUACCCAUCCCCUAUUCUUGGUUUUUUUUUUUUUUUUUUUUUUUUUGCCAUUGGCACUACAAAUCCACAGCACCUGACAGCCUUUUUUUUUCUUUUCUAUUUUUUGAAGGACAAAAAGAAAUUGAGAGUGAAAAAGAUAAGAUACCUGCAUACCUGCUUCACCAAUCAAGGUCGAAAGUAGGGGCUCAAACCCAGGUCAUUGCACAUGGUAAUGUACACUUAACCAGGUGCACCACCAUUGCGUCUCCAUCAAUGUCUUAAUAAACCAGAUCCAGCCAGAGAGACUGGUGCCAUAUUUUCUCAUCAGCACAAAAAUUCAUGGGAGAUGGUGCAGUGAACAAAUCAUUGAACUCUCAAGUAUGAGGUCCUAAGUUCAAUCACCAGCAGAACAUGUACCAGAAUGAAGUCUGGUUCUUUCUCUCUCUUCCUCAAUAGUAAAUAAAAUUUUUUAAUUUAUUCCCUUUUUGUUGCCCUUGUUUCCAUUGUUGUUGUAGUUAUUAUUGCUGUUGAUGUCAUCAUUGUUCGAUAGGACAGAAAGAAAUGGAGAGAGAAGGGGAAGACAGAGAGAGGGAGAGAAAGAUAGACACCUGCAGACCUGCUUCAUCGCCUGUGAAGCGACUCCUCUGCAGUAGGGAGCCGGGGGCUCGAACCGGGAUCUUUGUGCCGGUCCCUGCGCUUUGCGCCAUGUCCACUUAACCUGCUGCGCUACAGGAGCAGACACCUGCAGACCUGCUUCACCACUUGUGACGCAAACCUCCCCUGCAGGUGGGGAACUGGGGGCUCAAACUGGGAUCCUUGCGCUGGUCCUUGCGCUUCAUACCAUAUGCACUCAACCCACUGCGCUACUGCCCGACCCCUGAUGAUGAUUUUGUUAAUUUUUCUGCAAGUGUGUUUCUUGCCUGAGUUUCUUGAAGUACAGAUGUUCAGGCCUGUGUUAGCAAGAGCCCAGGGCAUCUGCAGGCAUCUGAGUGGAAGCACCAAUGUCCCCCCACUUCACCAGGUGUUGCCUAUUACAAAUACCUGGCACCUCAUGCAGCAGAAUGAAUGGCUGUUCUGCUUUAAACAAGCUGUUAAGCCUUGUUCCCCAGGCUGGUCUCCUAACCAGGCCGCAGAGUGCAUGCUUCCCCUGUAGAGACCGUGGGCUGUUGACAAGCCCUGUGACUGAACCAGUUUUAGCAUUGUCUUUUUUAGAUUUUCAUGCCUGAUGCUCAAAAAGUUCAAUCUCCAGCACCACCAUAAACCAGAGCUGAGCAGUACUCUGGUAAAACACAAAAAUGUGUCUAUAGACAGUGAUUUUGUGUUAUUUAAAUUUGAAAUUGCUUUAUAUGUUGAUCCCUUAAAUAGAAUGUGACGAAAAUCUCACAAUAAACUGCUAAACAAAUUAGAGGGAUGCCGACAUGAAAGACCUGAAAAGCCUUUCAGAAGGGGGAUUUGUCAGUCACUGGAGCUUUAGUUUCCACAUUACUUUUGUUAAAGUGAUAUGCUUUAUUUAUUCAAAAUAUGUCCUGUUAGAGAUUUUAUUUUUCUAGUUAGUGAAAAGAAUUGGUUCAUUCCAGAAAGAUAAUUUUAUUAACUUAGAAAAAUAAGAUGUCUGGUAUUAAAUGAUUACCCUAUACUUUGAGAUAGUAAGAUUCUAUUAACAGGAUGUGACAGGGCAGUUCAUUCCCUAACUUCAGGUCAUCUUUGAGAUUUUCUCAGCUGGACGUUCCCAGGUGAUGCUAUUUCUUGAAUAUUUAGGUAUACUAUUCAACAUUUAAUUUUUUUAAAAUUUUAUUUGUGAGAAAGGGGAGAGUAAGAACCAGAAAUCACUCUGGUACAUACAUUACCAGGGAUUGAACUCAUGCUCAAGAAGAGUUCAGUGCUUUAGCCACUGCUCUACCUUCUAGACCACCACCUUAACAAAUUCUUCUAUGUUAAUGUGCUUACUAACAUGUACUCUUUUUUCUCUUAGAAGAAAUUUUGUGGCAGAAAUGCAUUUACUGACCUGGAGAAACAAGUCUUUCUUCAUUUGCUCUCAGGCCUCACCAUACAAACACAAGGAUGCAGAGCAGCACUCUGGCAUGUGUUGCUUGGGACAAAACUCAGGAUCUCUGCUACCAGUCUUGCCUUCUACCAGACUGCUACUUUAAGGACAAAGUUUUACGUUUCCAAUAUGUGGCCUUGUGUCUUAUUUUCAUUAAGAUGUGUGGCUUACAGUGUAGCUUUCCUAAGGAUGUGGUGGCUGGGAAGAUUGUGGCAGCAACCAGAUAAUUACCCCUUCACCUCCCUGUUGAAGCACCAGUAGAGGGCUUGUUUCAUUUCUUACCCUGUCACUUGCAGUUGUCUAUAAUACUCACUCAAAAUUUGGCAGUGAGAAAAAUUGUUUUGAGGAGCCAGGCAGUGGUACACCUGGCUGAGCACACACAACACUGUGCGCAAGGACCCAGGUUCAGGUCCCUGGUCCCCACCUGCAGCGGGAAAGCUUCAUGAGUGGUAAAGCAGGACUGCAGGUGUCUCUUUCCCUUUCCCCUCUCAAUUUCUGUCUCUAAUAAGUAAAUAGUAAGCUGAACCCCUAAGAAAGUGAAUGAUGGGGGAGUGAAGUCAGAAGUACGCAGAUAAGGUUGUGUUGAGAUUCCACUUGCGGCUCUUGAGUACUUCAGGAUAAUUGUUUCUGUUUAUUUUCCCUUUUUUUUAAAAUUGUUGUAGUUAUUGAUGUCAUCAUUGUUAGAUAGGCCAGAGAGAAAUGGAGAGAGGAGGGGAAGACAGAGGGGUAGAGACUUGCUUCACUGCUUGUGAAGUGACCACCCUGCAAGUGGGGAGCCAGGGGUUCGAAACAGGAUCCUUAUGCCGAUCUUUGUGUUUCAUCUGCUGUGCGACUGCCUGACUCACCUGGAUUUUUUUUUUAAAGAUAUAUUUAGUUGUUUACUUUAAUACGACAUAGAGGUAUUCAGGGUUAGGGGCACUGCUCUGGUGCUUGCAGAACUUCCCCCUGUAGGUGGGGAGCAGGAUCUUCACCCCCCAGAGGUCCUUGUGAACUAGAUAUACCCCACCCUGGGAUUUUGAUUGUUUUGAGCCAUCACUUCAGUUCACACCAAUUUGUGUGGUUCUAAUCCCAGAUUUGAUGUUUACCUAUAAGACAGAAGUGUGAAUUCCAGCAUGGGAUUCUAUUUACUUAGCAGAGAUUGGGUACCAAUUAACUUUUAAAACUUUAGUGCUUCUUUAAUGAAAUAACAUGCUUUUUUUUUUAUUCUGGUGUGUUUUUCCUCAUGUCAUUUUACCUCCUAUCUUUCAUUAACAUUCUGAAUGCUGUGCUGUAUGUACCCUUAACUUUGCAAACUACUGUUAAGUGAGUAGACUGGAAAAUUGCAAAUUGUGACAUUCCACUGACAAGUCCUACAGGUCUAUUAACUCAAGAUGAGGCUUGAGGAAAGAACGGUCUGAAAUCUCUAAGUUUUCAUAUAGGUAGAAGGAAUAUAUAUUAUGCUUUUUAUUCAAAGCUCAGAUGAAUUUAAAGAUGUGUUUUUUGCUGCUCAGUGAGUGGACAAAAUGACACAUCCCAUUCCCCAUGCUUCUCCCAGCCACCUGGGUGUAGUGGGUGUCGCCUCCUGCCUUGGGGAGCUUAUGUGUUGAGUGUAUCUGUACACCAUUUUGUAAGGUGCUGCUUAUGAAUUGUUUAUUUUCUAGAGAAAUCAUUGCUCAUACUUUGUUCAGCAUAACCUGCCAAUCUGAUGGGUUGGCAGCCUCACUUAGAGACUGAAAAGUUCUCUGGAAUUGCCUAUUCAAGUUCUUCAGAAACAAGAACUUAUAGCAAAAUACACAAAAUUAUUUAUGCAAAGCAAACUUUCCAUUCUUGCUGUCUUGUCAGGUUUUCUUUUUCUAAAUCUUUUUUUUCUUCAUGCUUUAUUAUCUUUAUUUAUUGGAUAGAGACAGGCAGAAAUGAAGAGAGGAGUCAGAGACACACCUGCAGACCUGCUUCACCAUUUGUGAAACUUUUCCCCUGCAGGUGGGUACUGGGGGCUUGAACCCAAGUCCUUGCACAUUGUAACAUGUGCGCUCAAUCAGAUGCACCACCACCCAGCUCCUGUCAGUUUUUUCUUUUUUUAAACUUUUUGUUUUUUAAAUUUACUUAUUUCUUUUGUUGCCCUUGCUUUUUUUUGUUGUUGUAGUAGUUAUUAUUGAUGUCAUCGUUGUUGGAUAGGACAGAGAGAAAUGGAGAGAGGAGGGGAAGACAGAGAGGGGGACAGACACCUGCAGACCUGCUUCACCACCUGUGAAGUGACUCCCCUGCAGGUGGGGAGCCGGGGGCUUGAACCGGGAUCCUUACCCUCCUCCUUGUGCUUAGUGCCACCUGCGCUUAACCCGCUGUGCUACCGCCCGACUCCCCAGUUUUUUCUUAUCACUCAUCCUAAACUGUUAAAUUUUCUACUUGGUCUUUACCCCAGAGUCUGGCCUUUUUUUUAAACAUUUUUUAAUAUUUAUUUUCCCUUUUGUUGCCCCCCUUUUUAAAAUUGUAGUUAUUGUUGAUGUCGUUGUUGGAUAGGAUGGAGAGAAAUGGAGAGAGGAGGGGAAGGCAGAG